AUUGAACGCUGGCGGCAGGCCUAACACAUGCAAGUCGAGCGAGCGGCGGACGGGUGAGUAAUGUCUGGGAAACUGCCUGAUAGAGGGGGAUAACUACUGGAAACGGUGGCUAAUACCGCAUACCAUCGGAUGUACCCAUAUGGGAUUAGCUAGUUGGUGGGGUAACGGCUCACCAAGGCGACGAUCCCUAGCUGGUCUGAGAGGAUGACCAGCCACACUGGGACGGAGACACGGUCCAGACUCCUACGGGAGGCAGCAGUGGGGAAUAUUGCACAAUGGGCGCAAGCCUGAUGCAGCCAUGCCGCGUGUAUGAAGAAGGCCUUCGGGUUGUAAAGUACUUUCAGCGGGGAGGCGUUACCCGCAGAAGAAGCACCGGCUAACUCCGUGCCAGCAGCCGCGGUAAUAC
rnacentral:rRNA from 1 species